GGCAAGCGCACUACCGCUUGAGCCACAUCCCCAGCCCCAAACACUCUCCUUCUUGAGGAAUGUACCAGAGUCUGGGAACUUGCCAGAGCCCAUACAGAUGAAACUCACCGAGGAACACUAAUCACUUGAAAAGGACAAGGAUGAAGGAAUUUGCUUUAAAGUAUUGGAAAUGGUGUUUUACAUCACUGGAACAUAGGUGAGUUACUUGCAUUUUCUGGAGAGGUAAGAAUUUCUGAAGUCCUCCUCUGUUUACUCUUUUAUUGGGCCCAGGGUG